AUUGAACGCUGGCGGCAGGCCUAACACAUGCAAGUCGAGCGGAUGAAGGGAGCUUGCUCCUGGUUUCAGCGGCGGACGGGUGAGUAAUGCCUAGGAAUCUGCCUGGUAGUGGGGGAUAACGUCCGGAAACGGGCGCUAAUACCGCAUACGUCCUGAGGGGGAAGCGGGGGGGGGUUCGGAAAGUUCCCGAUCGUAGGGACGUAGGCGGGAUUAGUUAGUUGGUGGGUUGAGGGCCUGCUAAGCAGAGGAUCGGUAGCUGGCCGGAGAGGAUGGUCAGUCACACUGGAACUGGAACACGGUCCAUACUCCUACGGGAGGCAGCAGUGGGGAAUAUUGGACAGUGGGCGAAAGCCUUAUACAGCCAUGCCGCGUGUGUGAAGAAGGUCUUGGGAUUGUAAAGCACUUUAAGUUGGGAGGAAGGGCAGUAAGUUAAUACCUUGCUGUUUUGACGUUACCAACAGAAUAAGCACCGGCUAACUUCGUG
rnacentral:rRNA from 1 species